UCUGGGUCGCAUGCUACGCCCGAAUGGCAGGCUUCAGUGGUCUUAAUGGCUCUGGGUUGCUUAGGGAUUGUGGUCGUGUAACCUUUCUGCCGUGUCUGUUUCGACAGGUGCUGGUUUCGGCUGGCAUGCUUUCGGGUGCCUUUAAACGGGUGUCCGGAGCAGACGGCACGUUUACUUUGAACAAAUUUGAGUGCUCAAAGCAGGCCGUAGUGCCUGAAAAGUCUUGCAUGGAAUAAUGAAAUAGGACUUCGGUUCUAUUUUGUUGGUUUUCGGAUCCGAAGUAAU
rnacentral:rRNA from 1 species